UACAGAGGUCUCAAGCGUUGUUUGGAUUCAUUGGGCGUAAAGGGUGCGUAGGCGGCGCGGUAAGUCGGGUGUGAAAUCUUGGAGCUUAACUCCGAAACUGCAUUCGAUACUGCCGUGCUUGAGGACUGGAGAGGAGACUGGAAUUUACGGUGUAGCGGUGAAAUGCGUAGAUAUCGUAAGGAAGACCAGUGGCGAAGGCGGGUCUCUGGACAGUUCCUGACGCUGAGGCACGAAGGCCAGGGGAGCAAACGGG
rnacentral:rRNA from 1 species